UGAUAAGGGCUGAGCUCUGCUGCCUUUCUCCCAUGCAGAGCACUCAACAAGUAUCUCUUCUAACAGAGCCGCUGCUUGCCAUGAGGCUCGACACACUUUGUUUCCAGAAGCUCUGCUUCUCUUUCAGGCGUGGUUGGAAUCAGUCUAAAGGUUGGCCAGCUAUGCUGGGAGACCCUUACACACACACACACACACACAAAUCCAACCUUUGCACAAACCUUUCUCUAGGAAAGGGAAUUGCAAGCAGCGGGAGGGAAAAAGCCAGCGGAAGAAGGCAGCAUCAGGGCUGCAAAUCCCAGAGGCCAGAAGUUACUUCAGGGUGGCUGUGGAGAAGGCAGGCAGGCAGGAUGUGCAUCAGCUCUAGAAAGAGCUCCCAGCCAUAUGCCUGCACCCCCAGGAAGAGCAUUGAUUUAGAUUGGGCAUUAGAAAGAAGUUUUUUUUUUUUUUAUGAGGGUGAUGAAACACUGACACAGGUUGGCCAGAGAGCUGGUGGAUGCUUCAUGCCUGGAAACAUUCAAGGUCAGGUUUGACAGGGCUUUCAGACACCUGAUCUCACUGAAGAUAUCCCUGCCUUUGGCAGGGGAGUUAGACUGGAUGACCUUUAAAGGUCUCAUGCAAAUCCAAUUCCAAACUAUUUUAUAAUUCUGUGAAAUAAUACUUGAUUUAGUAAAAGAAAUUGCAAAACUCACUGACACCAAAGCUGGAUAUUGGUAUGUCCUGUUAAUUAAUCAUUGAAUCCUAGAGUGGUUUGGGUUGGAAGACUGGAAGUUCAUCUCAUUCCACUCCCCUGACAUGGGCAAGGACACCUUCCACUAUCCCAGGUUGUUCCAAUCCCUGUCCAGCCUGGUCUUGGACACUUCCAGGGAUCCAGGGACAGCCACAGCUUCUCUGAGCACCCUGUGCCAGAGCCUCACCACCUAAAGGCAAGAAUUUCUUCCUAAAAUCUAAUCUAAGUAAUUCCUUUUUUAGUUUAAAACCAUUUCCCCUUGUCCUUUCACUAUCUGCUCUGUAAAAAGUUGCUCUCCAUAUUUUUUAUAAGAUCCCCUUAGGUACUGAAAGCCCUCAGUGAGGUCUUCUUGGAGCCUUCUCCAGGUGAACAGCCCCAGCUGUGCCAGGCUGGCUCCAGAGCAGAGGGGCUCCAGCCCUGGCAGCAUCUCCGUGGUCUCCUCUGGACUCACUCCAGGUCCACAUUUCUCAAACCAGGUAGCUCAGCAUAUUUUGGACAUUAGCAGUUAGGUACAAAUGGCUGUCAGAAUUUGGAUUCGAGGUCACAGUGCAGGAACAUGAGCAUCUCCCUUAAGGUCUCUGAAUGUGAGUGAGGCGUUCAGCAUCCUCACAAAGGAUGUUCGUGUGCAGAGACAGCAACAGCUCAGUGGUAUCUGUCAUCUGUCUGCCAAACAGAACAAAGGAGGUUGAGCAACUUGGUCUAGUGGAAGGUGUCCUGCCUGUGGAACAAGAUCAUCUGCAAGGUGCCUUCAAACCCAAACCAUUCUGUGAUUGUAUGGAAUAACCCAGGACCUAAAAAAUAGGAAGGAGCAGUAGCUGUCUGUGCUGUUCUAUAGAGGAUACAUUGACUUCUCAAAGCCUGUGACCAGAGGAAAUACAACAUCAAUAUCAGGAAAACAUGGAUGCCUUUUCCAGCCACACUAAUGAGCAGGCUGCCACAAUUCAGAAGCUGCCUAAACACUGGUCCCUGAGCACCAUCCUUGCUGUGAGGUUUGAUAUUAAACUGAGCCUCACUCUUGAUGUAAGGUUCAGUUGCUAGUUUGUGGCAGUGAACAUGAAGUGACGUCCUGCUGUCCCAGAGUAAAAAGCUGGGACACUUUCUGAAGCUGAAGUUUCCAUGGGUGAAACUGAGUGUUGGAAAAACUGCACUGUACAGCCUGGUGCUAAUGUAACCCCAGCUGCUCCCUUACUAGACCUCUGCCUGUGAAUUUGCCAACUUGGCUGCUUCAGAGAAUUCCAGCAGGGGAUUGGGAUUUGACAGGACACAGACCUGUCAUGGUAGAGAUGCAGCAGCCACCUUUCUGAUGGACACCUUGAAGUCUGAUACUGCACAGCCCAAAGAUGCUGCUAAAGCCAUUCCAACUUGGAAAUUCCACCUGAGGACCAAGAGAACACAGUGAAAGUGGAAGAUGCUUUGCUAGUGGCUAAGCAGGGGGCUGAGCUUGCUUAUGCCUGGACACAAAGGUGGACUCAGUUCUGGAGUCAGCAGAAUAAGGGGAAUCAGGGCAGCUUGGAUAGAUUGGAGCAACCUGGUCUAGUGGAACAUGUUCCUGCCCAUGGUAGGAGCUGGAAUGAGGGGAUCUCCAAGGUCCCUUCCAGCCAAACCAUGCUGUU